rnacentral:lncRNA from 1 species
CGUGAUUCUGCCACCUCGCCAACAAACACGAUCCCUGUUGUUGUGCGCGCGCCGCUCUGUUGCCGUUGUCUCUUUUUCUUUUCUCCUUCCCUCGGACCUUGGGCGCUGUCGACGCUUCCUUUUUUCUUUCCGGGGUUUCUCUCGUCUUUUCCCUCUGCCUCCAAGAGGCCGUUGCCUCGUCGGUGGCGGCGGCGGUGCCUCGACGCAGAUCCCUCGGCGCCUUUGGCGUCGCCAAAAACCCCUCUAAAGAAAUUUUUUUCUUUAGGUCGCUUCGCGACGAUCGGCCGAUGACCCCAUCGGUUCUUUUGCUGUCGGUCUGGCGUCGCCGUCGUCAUGGUCGUCGCCUUGGAGGAUGAGACGACGCCAACAAGGGGGAGGACGACAACGACACAAAAGACGCCUGCAGGCGCCGAUCGCAAACAACCCGACUACGACGAUAACGAUGACAACAACGACGACGACGACGACGACGACG